rnacentral:misc_RNA from 1 species
AACCAUUCUCACCUGCGGCUAGACCUGCGGAAGGAUCAUUACAGAGUUAUCCAACUCCCAAACCCAUGUGAACUUAUCUCUUUGUUGCCUCGGCGCAAGCUACCCGGGACCCCGCGCCCCGGGCGGCCCGCCGGCGGACAAACCAAAACUCUUGUUAUCUUAGUUGAUUCUCUGAGCGUCUUAUUUAAUAAGUCAAAACUUUCAGCAAUGGAUCU